GAUGAACGCUAGCGACAGGCCUAACACAUGCAAGUCGAGCGGCAGCACCUCGGGUGGCGAGCGGCGCACGGGUGAGUAACGCGUAUGUAACCUGCCCAUGAGUGGGGGAUAGCCCGGUGAAAACCGGAUUAAUACCCCAUGACACCAUUUUGUGACAUCAUUUAGUGGUUAAAGAUUCAUUGCUCAUGGAUGGACAUGCGUUGGAUUAGCUAGUUGGCGGGGCAACGGCCCACCAAGGCGACGAUCCAUAGGGGUUCUGAGAGGAAGGUCCCCCACAUUGGUACUGAGACACGGACCAAACUCC
rnacentral:rRNA from 1 species